rnacentral:rRNA from 1 species
CUUCGCACUAUAUUCUGAAGGCACCAGAUCCUGUCUGGUCUUGGAAGCUAAGCAAGGUCAAGUUUGAUUAGUAUUUGGAUAGGAGACCAACAACAAAUACCAAGUACUGCAAAGG